UACGGGGGGAGCAAGCGUUGUUCGGAUUUACUGGGCGUAAAGGGCGCGUAGGCGGUCAGCACAAGUCAGUUGUGAAAUCUCCGGGCUUAACUCGGAAAGGUCAACUGAUACUGUGCGACUAGAGUGCAGAAGGGGCAACUGGAAUUCUCGGUGUAGCGGUGAAAUGCGUAGAUAUCGAGAGGAACACCGGUGGCGAAGGCGGGUCUCUGGGCCGUAACUGACGCUGAGGAGCGAAAGCGUGGGGAGCGAACAGG
rnacentral:rRNA from 1 species